UGGGGAAUAUUGCACAAUGGAGGGAACUCUGAUGCAGCGACGCCGCGUGAACGAAGAAGGCUUUCGAGUCGUAAAGUUCUUUUAUAUGGGAAGAUAAUGACAGUACCAUAAGAAGAAGCCCCGGCUAACUACGUGCCAGCAGCCGCGGUAAUACGUAGGGGGCUAGCGUUGUCCGGAAUCACUGGGCGUAAAGGGUUCGCAGGCGGAAAUGCAAGUCAGGUGUAAAAGGCAGUAGCUUAACUACUGUAAGCAUUUGAAACUGCAUAUCUUGAGAAGAGUAGAGGUAAGUGGAAUUUUUAGUGUAGCGGUGAAAUGCGUAGAUAUUAAAAAGAAUACCGGUGGCGAAGGCGACUUACUGGGCUCAUUCUGACGCUGAGGAACGAAAGCGUGGGUAGCAAACAGG
rnacentral:rRNA from 1 species